rnacentral:rRNA from 1 species
GAUGAACGCUGACCGAAUGCUUAACACAUGCAAGUCAACUUGAAUUUGGGUUUUUAACUUAGGUUUGGGUGGCGGACGGGUGAGUAACGCGUAAAGAACUUGCCUCACAGCUAGGGACAACAUUUGGAAACGAAUGCUAAUACCUAAUAUUAUGAUAAUAGGGCAUCCUAUAAUUAUGAAAGCUAUAAGCGCUGUGAGAGAGCUUUGCGUCCCAUUAGCUAGUUGGAGAGGUAACGGCUCACCAAGGCGAUGAUGGGUAGCCGGCCUGAGAGGGUGAUCGGCCACAAGGGGAAUGAGACACGGCCCUUACUCAUACGGGAGGCAGCAGUGGGGAAUAUUGGACAAUGGACCGAGAGUCUGAUACAGCAAUUCUGUGUGCACGAUGAAGUUUUUCGGAAUGUAAAGUGCUUUCAGUUGGGAAGAAACAAAUGACGGUACCAACAGAAGAAGUGACGGCUAAAUACGUG